GAACGAGACGGGGUAUUGCAUCCACCUCUCCCCCAGGGAGGGAGAGUCUGGGUGGAUGAAGAAGCGGUUGGGAAGAUGUGACUCGGUCAUACCACUCACUUCCCAGCGAUCCCUGCUCCACUGCACAGGACAAAGCUCGCGACCCUGGAGCGACACCCGGACUUGAAGAGCUGAAAGCUCGGGUUCACACCCGACUUUACCGCUGCUGUUCCAAGACUGGCCCCGCCGAACCGCAUCUUUACAAUCUAGUAGAAGGGCCUACACAGAACUUGUAUGGACUGGAGACUCAUGUUCUGCUCUUCUGCUCAUAUGUUAUGUAGAGGUAAAUCAGAACAUUACAGAACAUUUAUAUGAAUGUCUAUAAAGCAAAUUUAGUCUGAUUUAGAUGUGAAAUGUGAAAUUGCAUUUUUACAAAGUAAAGCAAAUGUAUAUUAUUAUUAUUUUUAAUUCCAAACUUAAAUAAAUGAUGUUUUUGUCCUCCUGCU